AUUGAACGCUGGCGGCAUGCCUUACACAUGCAAGUCGAACGGCAGCACGGGAGCAAUCCUGGUGGCGAGUGGCGAACGGGUGAGUAAAGUAUCGGAACGUGCCCAGUCGUGGGGGAUAACGUAGCGAAAGUUACGCUAAUACCGCAUACGAUCUAUGGAUGAAAGCGGGGGAUCGCAAGACCUCGCGCGAUUGGAGCGGCCGAUGUCAGAUUAGGUAGUUGGUGGGGUAAAGGCUCACCAAGCCGACGAUCUGUAGCUGGUCUGAGAGGACGGCCGGCCACACUGGGACUGCGACACGGCUCAGACUCCUACGGGAGGCAGCAGUGGGGAAUUUUGGACGAUGGGCGAAAGCCUGAUCCAGCCAUGCCGCGUGCAGGAUGAAGGCCUUCGGGUUGUAAACUGCUUUUGUACGGAACGAAAAGGUUUGGCCUAAUAAGCUGAGCUCAUGACGGUACCGUAAGAAUAAGCACCGGCUAACUACGUGCCAGCCGCCGCAGUAA
rnacentral:rRNA from 1 species